rnacentral:sRNA from 1 species
GAUCUGGCUGUGACAUCUGUCACCCCAUUGAUGGCCAGGGUUGAUUCGACUGAUCUGGCCGGCUAGGCGGGUGUCCCCUUCC